GACGAACGCUGGCGGCGUGCUUAACACAUGCAAGUCGAACGGAAAGGCCCUGCUCUUGUGGGGUGCUCGAGUGGCGAACGGGUGAGUAACACGCGAGUAACCUGCCCUUGACUUUGGGAUAACUUCAGGAAACUGGGGCUAAUACCGGAUAGGAGCUCCUGCUGCACGGUGGGGGUUGGAAAGUUUCGGCGGUUGGGGAUGGACUCGCGGCUUAUCAGCUUGUUGGUGGGGUAGUGGCUUACCAAGGCUUUGACGGGUAGCCGGCCUGAGAGGGUGACCGGCCACAUUGGGACUGAGAUACGGCCCAGACGCCUACGGGAGGCAGCAGUGGGGAAUAUUGCACAAUGGGCGGAAGCCUGAUGCAGCAACGCCGCGUGCGGGAUGACGGCCUUCGGGUUGUAAACCGCUUUCGCCUGUGACGAAGCGUGAGUGACGGUAAUGGGUAAAGAAGCACCGGCUAACUACGUG
rnacentral:rRNA from 1 species